rnacentral:rRNA from 1 species
UACGGGGGGGGCAAGCGUUGUUCGGAAUUACUGGGCGUAAAGGGCGCGUAGGUGGCGCGGGCAGUCAACGGUGAAAGUUCGGGGCUCAACCCUGAAUCGGCCGUCGAUACUCCCGGGCUUGAGCACUGUAGAGGCAGAUGGAAUUCCGGGUGUAGCGGUGGAAUGCGUAGAGAUCCGGAAGAACACCGGUGGCGAAGGCGGUCUGCUGGGCAGUAGCUGACACUGAGGCGCGACAGCGUGGGGAGCAAACAGG